rnacentral:rRNA from 1 species
UACGUAGGGUGCAAGCGUUGUCCGGAAUUAUUGGGCGUAAAGAGCUCGUAGGCGGUUUGUCGCGUCUGCUGUGAAAGCCCGGGGCUCAACCCCGGGUCGGCCGUGGCAACUGUCGAGCUGGAGCACUGUAGAGGCAGGUGGAAUUCCGGGUGUAGCGGUGGAAUGCGUAGAGAUCCGGAAGAACACCGGUGGCGAAGGCGGCCUGCUGGGCAGUGGCUGACGCUGAGGAGCGAAAGCGUGGGGGAGCGAACAGG